CUCUGGCUGAGGGCUGUUGGAGGGGGCCGCAUUCCUGCAGCCAGAAACUGGCCACAACCUCCUGAAGAAAGGGUACAUCAGGCUGGUGCCUUUAAACCCGGAUUUGACCAGCCUGGAGAUGUGGGCGUGGAGAGGGAGGGAAGGACAGGGAAGGGUCUGGGCCGGGUGCAGGGCAAAUGUCUGAGGGACUGGGUGAGAUCCACCCCCCGCCAGUCCUCCUGCCUUGCAGCUGUGCUGUCAAGUUGCUUCUGUGGGUGGGGGCUUCUAUAGAACUUCUGCGUGUCAAAUAUGAUCGAGUGGGCAUGCCUGGCAACUUGGCACUCAUGACUCAGUUGAAGAUGUGGCCCAUAGCAGGUCAUCACAUAACCCUCAGAAGGGAAAGUUGUAAUAACUGAGUGACUACAUCAAAAUGAGGAACCUGAACAUGGAGAGAGAGGAAAUGAGAAAUCUACAAGAAGAAGUAUGAAUUUAGAACAAAAUAGAAAGAAGAAAUGUGUGGAAGAGUGGAAGAUACACACUGAUAAGAAAAGAGAACUUUAAAAUGAUUAACCAAAAAGAAAGAGUAAAAAAAAAAGGCAUAAAUGAUGUAAGAUGAAAGAUAUUUUUUAAGAGCAAAUUAAAAACAUUUGCAACCACAAGUUUGAGAGGAAAAUAGGGUAAAUAUGUUGCAGAUCAGAAGAAAGGCCAAGACUAUAAUUGAGGACAUCAGGAAAACUGCAGAAAGCAGAAAAAUAUGUUCCAAGGCUAACAGCUCUUCCUUCCUUUAUAUAUUUAUGCGGUUGGUAGUGUUCUUCUUACAUCUUUUAUGUUUAUGCUGAUUUUUUUUGCCUUGUUAUUCUAUUAAUUGCUAAUGGAAUAGUACUGAAAUCUCUGAUUGUGGAAUUGUCUAUUUUUCUCUUUAAUGCUGUUUUUACCUCGUGUUUUGAAACACUUACUAGUUGUAUACACAUUUAUGAUUGUUAUGCCUUCCUCAAUGAACCCUUUUAUUAUAAUGAAAUAUUCCCCUUUAUCUCUGAUAACACUUUUGGUCUCGUGUAUCAGUUUCCUAGGAUUGCCAUUAAAAAAGUACCACAAAAGGGACAUCUGGGUGGCUCAGGGUUGAGCAUCUGC
rnacentral:lncRNA from 1 species